UAAUAUCAUUAGCCUAAAUUAUAAAAACGGGGAAACCAAUCUUUGGGGGUGAAUCGCAUUUAUGCGUAGGUUUGUGCCUUUACCGAAUCCGUCAGCUAACCUCGUAGAAUAAAAGGAGGAAGA
rnacentral:sRNA from 2 species